rnacentral:rRNA from 1 species
ACUCAAAGGAAUUGACGGGGGCCCGCACAAGCGGAGGAACAUGUGGUUUAAUUCGAUGAUACGCGAGGAACCUUACCCGGGCUUGAAAUGCAUCCGAUGUAUCCGGAAACGGAUAUUCCCUUCGGGGCGGAUGUGUAGGUGCUGCAUGGUUGUCGUCAGCUCGUGCCGUGAGGUGUCGGCUUAAGUGCCAUAACGAGCGCAACCCUUGUCGUCAGUUGCCAUCGGGUCAAGCCGGGGACUCUGACGAGACUGCCAUCGUAAGAUGCGAGGAAGGUGGGGAUGACGUCAAAUCAGCACGGCCCUUAUGUCCGGGGCGACACACGUGUUACAAUGGGCGGUACAACGGGAAGCUACCUGGCGACAGGAUGCUGAUCUUUAAAUCCGCUCACAGUUCGGAUCGGAGUCUGCAACUCGACUCCGUGAAGUCGGAUUCGCUAGUAAUCGCGCAUCAGCCACGGCGCGGUGAAUACGUUCCCGGGCCUUGUACACACCGCCCGU